rnacentral:rRNA from 1 species
GGGUUGUGAGGUUAAGCGACUAAGCGUACACGGUGGAUGCCCUGGCAGUCAGAGGCGAUGAAGGACGUGCUAAUCUGCGAUAAGCGUCGGUAAGGUGAUAUGAACCGUUAUAACCGGCGAUUUCCGAAUGGGGAAACCCAGUGUGUUUCGACACACUAUCAUUAACUGAAUCCAUAGGUUAAUGAGGCGAACCGGGGGAACUGAAACAUCUAAGUACCCCGAGGAAAAGAAAUCAACCGAGAUUCCCCCAGUAGCGGCGAGCGAACGGGGAGCAGCCCAGAGCCUGAAUCAGUGUGUGUGUUAGUGGAAGCGUCUGGAAAGGCGCGCGAUACAGGGUGACAGCCCCGUACACAAAAAUGCACAUGCUGUGAGCUCGAUGAGUAGGGCGGGACACGUGGUAUCCUGUCUGAAUAUGGGGGGACCAUCCUCCAAGGCUAAAUACUCCUGACUGACCGAUAGUGAACCAGUACCGUGAGGGAAAGGCGAAAAGAACCCCGGCGAGGGGAGUGAAAAAGAACCUGAAACCGUGUACGUACAAGCAGUGGGAGCACGCUUAGGCGUGUGACUGCGUACCUUUUGUAUAAUGGGUCAGCGACUUAUAUUCUGUAGCAAGGUUAACCGAAUAGGGGAGCCGAAGGGAAACCGAGUCUUAACUGGGCGUUAAGUUGCAGGGUAUAGACCCGAAACCCGGUGAUCUAGCCAUGGGCAGGUUGAAGGUUGGGUAACACUAACUGGAGGACCGAACCGACUAAUGUUGAAAAAUUAGCGGAUGACUUGUGGCUGGGGGUGAAAGGCCAAUCAAACCGGGAGAUAGCUGGUUCUCCCCGAAAGCUAUUUAGGUAGCGCCUCGUGAAUUCAUCUCCGGGGGUAGAGCACUGUUUCGGCAAGGGGGUCAUCCCGACUUACCAACCCGAUGCAAACUGCGAAUACCGGAGAAUGUUAUCACGGGAGACACACGGCGGGUGCUAACGUCCGUCGUGAAGAGGGAAACAACCCAGACCGCCAGCUAAGGUCCCAAAGUCAUGGUUAAGUGGGAAACGAUGUGGGAAGGCCCAGACAGCCAGGAUGUUGGCUUAGAAGCAGCCAUCAUUUAAAGAAAGCGUAAUAGCUCACUGGUCGAGUCGGCCUGCGCGGAAGAUGUAACGGGGCUAAACCAUGCACCGAAGCUGCGGCAGCGACGCUGAUGCGUUGUUGGGUAGGGGAGCGUUCUGUAAGCCUGCGAAGGUGUGCUGUGAGGCAUGCUGGAGGUAUCAGAAGUGCGAAUGCUGACAUAAGUAACGAUAAAGCGGGUGAAAAGCCCGCUCGCCGGAAGACCAAGGGUUCCUGUCCAACGUUAAUCGGGGCAGGGUGAGUCGACCCCUAAGGCGAGGCCGAAAGGCGUAGUCGAUGGGAAACAGGUUAAUAUUCCUGUACUUGGUGUUACUGCGAAGGGGGGACGGAGAAGGCUAUGUUGGCCGGGCGACGGUUGUCCCGGUUUAAGCGUGUAGGCUGGUUUUCCAGGCAAAUCCGGAAAAUCAAGGCUGAGGCGUGAUGACGAGGCACUACGGUGCUGAAGCAACAAAUGCCCUGCUUCCAGGAAAAGCCUCUAAGCAUCAGGUAACAUCAAAUCGUACCCCAAACCGACACAGGUGGUCAGGUAGAGAAUACCAAGGCGCUUGAGAGAACUCGGGUGAAGGAACUAGGCAAAAUGGUGCCGUAACUUCGGGAGAAGGCACGCUGAUAUGUAGGUGAAGUCCCUCGCGGAUGGAGCUGAAAUCAGUCGAAGAUACCAGCUGGCUGCAACUGUUUAUUAAAAACACAGCACUGUGCAAACACGAAAGUGGACGUAUACGGUGUGACGCCUGCCCGGUGCCGGAAGGUUAAUUGAUGGGGUCAGCGCAAGCGAAGCUCUUGAUCGAAGCCCCGGUAAACGGCGGCCGUAACUAUAACGGUCCUAAGGUAGCGAAAUUCCUUGUCGGGUAAGUUCCGACCUGCACGAAUGGCGUAAUGAUGGCCAGGCUGUCUCCACCCGAGACUCAGUGAAAUUGAACUCGCUGUGAAGAUGCAGUGUACCCGCGGCAAGACGGAAAGACCCCGUGAACCUUUACUAUAGCUUGACACUGAACAUUGAGCCUUGAUGUGUAGGAUAGGUGGGAGGCUUAGAAGUGUGGACGCCAGUCUGCAUGGAGCCGACCUUGAAAUACCACCCUUUAAUGUUUGAUGUUCUAACGUGGACCCGUAAUCCGGGUUGCGGACAGUGUCUGGUGGGUAGUUUGACUGGGGCGGUCUCCUCCUAAAGAGUAACGGAGGAGCACGAAGGUUGGCUAAUCCUGGUCGGACAUCAGGAGGUUAGUGCAAUGGCAUAAGCCAGCUUGACUGCGAGCGUGACGGCGCGAGCAGGUGCGAAAGCAGGUCAUAGUGAUCCGGUGGUUCUGAAUGGAAGGGCCAUCGCUCAACGGAUAAAAGGUACUCCGGGGAUAACAGGCUGAUACCGCCCAAGAGUUCAUAUCGACGGCGGUGUUUGGCACCUCGAUGUCGGCUCAUCACAUCCUGGGGCUGAAGUAGGUCCCAAGGGUAUGGCUGUUCGCCAUUUAAAGUGGUACGCGAGCUGGGUUUAGAACGUCGUGAGACAGUUCGGUCCCUAUCUGCCGUGGGCGCUGGAGAACUGAGGGGGGCUGCUCCUAGUACGAGAGGACCGGAGUGGACGCAUCACUGGUGUUCGGGUUGUCAUGCCAAUGGCACUGCCCGGUAGCUAAAUGCGGAAGAGAUAAGUGCUGAAAGCAUCUAAGCACGAAACUUGCCCCGAGAUGAGUUCUCCCUGAC